UACGUAGGGUGCAAGCGUUAAUCGGAAUUACUGGGCGUAAAGCGUGCGCAGGCGGUUUUGUAAGUCUGUCGUGAAAUCCCCGGGCUCAACCUGGGAAUGGCGAUGGAGACUGCAAGGCUAGAGUUUGGCAGAGGGGGGUAGAAUUCCACGUGUAGCAGUGAAAUGCGUAGAUAUGUGGAGGAACACCGAUGGCGAAGGCAGCCCCCUGGGUCAAGACUGACGC
rnacentral:rRNA from 1 species